CUGGGCCCUGAAAUCAUCGCCCAGCAACCACAUCCCUUCUCUACAGAAGCCCCUGAGAGGAAAGCUCUUCACCAUGGACUGGACCUGGAUGGUCUUCUGCUUGCUGGCAGUAGCUCCAGGGGCCCACUCCCAGGAGCAGCUGGUGCAGUCUGGGGCUGAGGUGAAGAAGCCUGGGGCCUCAGUGAAGGUCUCCUGCAAAGCUUCUGGAUACAUUUUCACCGGUUAUAUUAUCAGCUGGCUGCGACAGGCUCCUGGACAAGGGUUUGAGUGGAUGGGAGGAAUCAACCCUAGUGAUGGUAGCACAAGCUACGCACAGAAGUUCCAGGGCAGAGUCACCAUGACCAGGGACACGUCCACAAGCACAGUCUACGUGGAGCUGAGCAGUCUGAGUUCUGAGGACACGGCCGUGUAUUACUGUGCGGCAGACACAGUGUGAAAACCACAUCCUCAGAGUGUCAGAAACCCUGAGGGAGGACUCAGCUGUGCUGGGCUGAGGAAAUAUCAGGGGUUAUUCAGUUUAAGACUGUUUAGAAAAUGGGUUAUAAAUUUGAGAACAAUAGAAACAUGGUCUAGCUGUAAGAGAAAUAUUCCAUUCAAGAGCCACCAUAUAAGCCAAAUUGACAGAGUGGGAAAGGCCAAACUCAAUAAAGUUGAUACAAGCAUUCCAUGAAGGAGUUACUGUGAACAAUUCACAUUAGAUGCAUAAAUAAUUUGUAGCAAGGUUAUUUGAUCAUGUGUUAAGGGUAAGUAUGAUUCUUAAAAAGAGGCAAAAUUGUCUUUCAAAUGUUUCUGUCACUCCUUA